rnacentral:rRNA from 1 species
CGUAGGGUCCGAGCGUUGUCCGGAAUUAUUGGGCGUAAAGAGCUCGUAGGCGGUUUGUCGCGUCUGCUGUGAAAUCCCGAGGCUCAACCUCGGGCCUGCAGUGGGUACGGGCAGACUGGAGUGCGGUAGGGGAGAAUGGAAUUCCUGGUGUAGCGGUGGAAUGCGCAGAUAUCAGGAGGAACACCGAUGGCGAAGGCAGUUCUCUGGGCCGUAACUGACGCUGAGGAGCGAAAGCGUGGGGAGCGAACAGGAUUAGAUACCCUGGUAGUCCACGCCGUAAACGUUGGGCGCUAGAUGUGGGGACCUUUCCACGGUUUCCGUGUCGUAGCUAACGCAUUAAGCGCCCCGCCUGGGGAGUACGGCCGCAAGGCUA